AUGGGACAGAUGGUCUUGCCAACAAGAGUGAAGGCAAACAGGCAAAAGGCAGAGGUUUCCUUCGUUCAUGAACUUUUUUCUGGGCUGCUACCAGAAAGGGUUGCUCAUGUUUAGAGCAACUCUAAUGCAAAGCAGGAUGGAGAGGUACCACUGCAGUAAAAGCCAUGAUGGAUAACCUGUUUUGCCUGCUUGCUCUGGACCAGCUAUUUAACUGAAGGAUGGGCAUGCAACAAGUUAUUUUAUCUCCAUCCAAGGUUGUAUUGUUGACACUAUUAUUUCACCAUUUUUAAAUUAAGAAACAUGUAAAA